AGUGAACGUUGGCGGCGUGGAUUAGGCAUGCAAGUCGAGCGAGAACCGUAGCAAUACGGGGACAGCGGCGAAAGGGACAGUAAUGUGUAGGUACCUACCUCCGGGUUCGGGAUAGCUGCGGGAAACUGCAGGUAAUACCGAAUAACGUCUCCGGACCAAAGGUGUGAUUCCACCUGGAGAGGGGCCUGCAUCCCAUUAGCUUGUUGGCGGGGUAACGGCCCACCAAGGCGACGAUGGGUAGCGGGUGUGAGAGCACGACCCGCGUCAUUGGGACUGAGAGACGGCCCAGACACCUACGGGUGGCUGCAGUCGUGAAUCUUCGGCAAUGGGCGCAAGCCUUACCGAGCGACGCCGCGUGCGGGAUGAAGGCCUUCGGGUUGUAAACCGCUGUCGUAGAGGAGGAAAUGCAGGGGGGUUCUCCCCUCUGUUUGACCUAUUCUAGGAGGAAGUACGGGCUAAGUUCGUGCCAGCAGCCGCCGUAA
rnacentral:rRNA from 1 species